UACGUAGGCAGCAAGCGUUGUUCGGAAUUACUGGGCGUAAAGAGUGUGUAGGCGGUGCUCUAAGUUCGGUGUGAAAUCUCCUGGCUCAACUGGGAGGGUGCGCCGGAAACUGGGGUGCUCGAGCGUGGGAGAGGAAAGCGGAAUUCCUGGUGUAGCGGUGAAAUGCGUAGAUAUCAGGAGGAACACCUGUGGUGUAGACAGCUUUCUGGACCAUUGCUGACGCUGAGACACGAAAGCGUGGGUAGCAAACAGG
rnacentral:rRNA from 1 species